UAAAAUGAAUAGCAAACCAUU
rnacentral:piRNA from 1 species